AUUGAACGCUGGCGGCAGGCCUAACACAUGCACGUCGAACGAGUGGCGGACGGGUGAGUAAUGUAUGGGAAACUGCCUGAUGGAUGGUGAUAAAUACUGGAAACGGUAGCUAAUACCGCAUACCAUCAGAUGUGCCCAGAUGGGAUUAGCUUGUUGGUGGGGUAACGGCUCACCAAGGCGACGAUCCCUAGCUGGUCUGAGAGGAUGACCAUCCACACUGGAACUGAGACACGGUCCAGACUCCUACGGGAGGCAGCAGUGGGGAAUAUUGCACAAUGGGCGAAAGCCUGAUGCAGCCAUGCCGCGUGUAUGAAGAAGGCCUUCGGGUUGUAAAGUACUUUCAGCGGGGAGGCGUUACCCGCAGAAGAAGCACCGGCUAACUCCGUGCCAGCCGCCGCGGUAAUUC
rnacentral:rRNA from 1 species